AUUGAACGCUGGCGGCAGGCUUAACACAUGCAAGUCGAGCGGAUGACGGGAGCUUGCUCCUGGAUUCAGCGGCGGACGGGUGAGUAAUGCCUAGGAAUCUGCCUGGCAGUGGGGGAUAACGUCCGGAAACGGGCGCUAAUACCGCAUACGUCCUGAGGGAGAAAGUGGGGGAUCUUCGGACCUCACGCUAUCAGAUGAGCCUAGGUCGGAUUAGCGAGUUGGUGGGGUAAAGGCCUACCAAGGCGACGAUCCGUAACUGGUCUGAGAGGGUGAUCAGUCAGACUGGAGCUGAGACACGGCCCAGACUCCUACGGGAGGCAGCAGUGGCGAAUAUGGGACGAAGGGGGAAAGCCUGAUCCAGCCAUGCCGCGUGUGUGAAGAAGGUCUUCGGAGUGUAAAGCACUUUUAGUUGGGAGGAAGGGCAGUAAGUGAAUACCUGGCUGUAUUGACGUUACCAACAGAAGAAGCACCGGCUAACUUCGUG
rnacentral:rRNA from 1 species